CUUGCAGUCUGCAGGACUUGAUGGGCACAGUGUGGAGAGACAGGACCAACUGAGGGUCAGUGACAUUGAUUAGGGAUGUCACCGGGAACGCUGGGAGGAAGGGCUCCCUCAGGGUAACCAGUCUUUGAUCUGGGGCAUGGCUGGACAAGUAUGGAUCUGAAUCCAUGGAAAUUCUGCCUCAUACUUGAGUGUCCUGAGAACCUUCCAAGAUGCUCCAGGUUCUGGGAUUGAACUCGGGUCCUCAUGAUUGCAUGAAAUCGGUAACACUAACAAAGGGCCUUGUGAGAAUCUGCCUCUGCCCUGUCCUCCACCGGCAUGAUUGAUAGCUCAGCUGGGGAAGGACUGUGGGACUCUGAGAUCUGCACUCAUUUGAAACAAUAUCCUUGGAGUUCACUGGACUGGAUGAGAUUCACGUAACCAAGGCUGCCGUGUGGAGACGUCCUGACAGGAAUGGGCAGAAGCUCAGCUUUUGUUUAGCCAUCCUCUGUGCAGGUGCAGUUCAAUAAAUCAAAUGAUGCAUUAAC